UACCGGAAUCUCUUGGAUACAAAUUUCCUUCUUGGGCUUACCUAGUUAGAGAGAAUAGCAAGAUUAAGGUACUAAAAAAUUAAAAAAACUUACCAUCAAGGAAUAAGUACUAAAUGAUUUUAUUAAUUUGUAAAUGGCUCCUCAUUGGGAGGAUUAAAUACAAGCUUCUUGUUAAAGCAAUCUAUGGUGACGUGAUGUACCGCUAACCAAUCCAUUCAUAAGAUUAUAUCAAAAU
rnacentral:lncRNA from 1 species